GCUCAGGACGAACGCUGGCGGCGUGCUUAACACAUGCAAGUCGAACGGAAAGGCCCUUGCUUGCAGGGGUACUCGAGUGGCGAACGGGUGAGUAACACGUGGGUGAUCUGCCUUGUACUUCGGGAUAAGCCUGGGAAACUGGGUCUAAUACCGGAUAGGACCAUGCUUUAGUGUGUGUGGUGGAAAGUUUUUUCGGUACAAGAUGAGCCCGCGGCCUAUCAGCUUGUUGGUGGGGUAAUGGCCUACCAAGGCGACGACGGGUAGCCGGCCUGAGAGGGUGUACGGCCACAUUGGGACUGAGACACGGCCCAGACUCCUACGGGAGGCAGCAGUA
rnacentral:rRNA from 1 species